rfam:Canis lupus familiaris chromosome 12, whole genome shotgun sequence.
AUCGCUUCUUGGCCUCUUGGCUAAGAUCAUGUGUAGUAUUUGUUCUUAUCAGUUUAAUUGCCAAGCUGAGAUUCUUCUGUGUUUUAUUCUGCUACCCAGU